CACGUAGGCACCAAGCGUUGUCCGGAUUUAUUGGGCGUAAAGAGCUCGUAGGCGGUUCGGUUAGUCGGGUGUGAAAACUUUGGGCUCAACCCAAAGCGUGCACUCGAUACUGCCGUGACUAGAGUUCGGUAGGGGAGUGGGGAAUUCCUAGUGUAGCGGUGAAAUGCGCAGAUAUCAGGAGGAACACCGGUGGCGAAGGCGGGUCUCUGGGCCGAUACUGACGCUGAGGAGCGAAAGCGUGGGGAGCGAACAGG
rnacentral:rRNA from 1 species